CGGCCACCGCCGCCGGGACGCCGGCCGCCGCCGCCACGCCGGCCGACAUGGCCACGCCGCAGACGCCGUACGGCGGCGUGGUGAGCGGCGCCCAGCCCACCAGCCACACACGCAAGGCCUGGAAACGCUACGUGGACGCCAUGGAGGAGACGCCCGAGGGCAAGCGACGGCGCGUGAGCACGCCUAUGUCUCAACUGGUGGUGCAGUUCUUCAAAGGACUCCCGAAAGCUGAUCUGAACCUAAAGGAAGACUUGAAUACGUCCAGUCCAUCAGGCCUAGAUAUCAAUUCCAAGGCAGGUUGAUGCGGAGCUGCGGUCGGAAGUGGCGGCCGGCCGCUCGCCGUCGGCCGCUGCCAGCUCCUCCCUCCGGAGUCCAGCGGGCCCCAGCCGCCCGGGGGCGCCCCCGCC